UGAGCCACAUCUGUGACCUACACCACAGCUUACAGCAACACAGGAUUCUUAACCCACUGAUCAAGGCCGGGGAUCGAACCCACUUCCUUGUGGAUACUUGUCGGGUUCAAUACCACUGAGCCGCGUUUUGUCAUUAAACGCGACUAUUCCCCAAGUUUUGUCUUUUAAACGCAACUAUUCUACAAGUAAAAUUCUGAGACAGUUGUAUCACUGCAGCCCAGGUGUGGCAUCUUAUUGAAAAGAAAACCCAGACUCUGUUUGGAAGCACAAUAUCUAACCUGUAAAAGUUGUCCAAAACACACAAUAAUGGUGGGGGAAAUGCAGGCAUUAUGUUGUCAAAUCAAUCACUAAAAUAUAAAGAAGACAGGAUGUUCUAGAUAUUAGAAAUCUGAGAAAUACAUAUUUUAAAGCACCUCUGUGAACUGUAUAAAAGGCCUUAAAUAAGCAAGGUAUUUAAAAAAAAAAAAGACUUUGGUUCUAUUUAAUAACAUAAUCUUCUGGAUUUCCAUCCAUAUUUUUAAAAAAACUCAUGUCACUUCACAUGUAUCACUGUGCACAGGAGUUUAGUCAGCAAAGCCCCCAGGCAACAUUCCAGGACAGGUAAGUUCAGCCUUUAGCUGGGUAAGGAUCCCCGGCAGGGAGAAAGUCUCACCUAAAGGCACUGCCUCCCUGGGCAAGGGGGAAGCUGCUUUGUGGCAAGUGACUCAGCCUCUGGGCGGUCUUUGCGGCUGGUGUGCAAGCUGCCACCAGGCUCAGAUUCUCCUGAAUUCUAUGUGAUUUCUGGAAGAUGCUCCCCUAUUCCAGCCCCCCACCCCCAACAUCCCUAAGAAUCAUAUACCUGCCACCUGAAAUAGAAUGAUUCUAGCCCUGCUUCUGCUUUGCUGCUUGUACCGCUUGAGUUUCUCCUCCAGACAUGAAAUGCAUCAGCCAAGAGUUUUAAGUCAUGGAAUCAAAGGAAGAGAUGGCCAGGAAAUGCACUAUGAAGCACUGUCACAGGGCCACUCACCCCUCAGGAUAACCUCCCCUAACUUGUUUCCUGCCCAACCUACAGCACCAUUUCUGGAACUCAGCUGCUGACUGAUAAUUAGGUCUAAUAGAGAGCAAGGAUUUCCUGACGGGAUGCAGACAGCACUGCAUUUGCUGGCAGCUGUGCCUCGGCUGAUUGUUGGAAACCUGGCUUUUAACCCUGUGCUGGCUCUCCAUCACACCCAACUCUGGCAACCUAGUGAGGCCAGCUCAGCCAUGCUGAAAGCAGCUCUCAGGGAAUGAAGAGGGAGGAAAUGGAGGAAGAAGAAUACAUCGCAUUCAAUAUUAAUUUGCCAGUCCAUGCAGAAAAAAAAAAAGAUCAGAGGUCUUGCCUUAGCCUGCCUUCCCUUCUGGAGAAUCAAUAGCACAGACAUUCUGAAAACACAGAAGAAAAGAAUAUAGGCUGUAAGAUCUAAAAGUAAGUUUAGUAGUCAGUUCUUCUCAGGCAAGAAAUCUAUGUUGAUUUACUACUCAGUAAAGGUUUCAUAAUUUGGCACCAAC